UGAGCAACCUGCCCUUGGCUUCGGGAUAACUCCGGGAAACCGGGCUAAUACCGGAUGUGACGCGCCCGCGCAUGGGGGCGUGUGGAAAGAUUUAUUGGCCAGGGAUGGGCUCGCGGCCUAUCAGCUUGUUGGUGGGGUGAUGGCCUACCAAGGCGACGACGGGUAGCCGGCCUGAGAGGGCGACCGGCCACACUGGGACUGAGACACGGCCCAGACUCCUACGGGAGGCA
rnacentral:rRNA from 1 species